GUUUCAUUGCUUGGUAUAAAUCCCCAGGCUGAAGCGAAUGACACUUCACUGGGGAGAAGCAGUGCGUCUUAUCAUAGGACUGGGCAGCUCUCCGUGCAAGGUGUCGCUGACAGGGCUUGGCUUUUGCCAAGAUGCACAGGUAGGAAGCUGCACCCGUGUGUGCCCGUUUGUGCCCGUUCGGCAUGUGCACGUGAAGCCUGGAAGGAUUUUCUGUGGAUCCACAAAUGGAUUUCCAAGGAGGAGCCGGUCUAAGCACACGCCGCUUCCAUGUGUUACGCGUGGCCCAUCCCGCCAGGACCCUGAGGGAAGGGUUGCAGCUGCUUGAGCUCUGCCCGGAGCUCUGGGCCAUGUGCUGGGCAGAAAGCUGAACCUAGACCGAGAGAGAGAAGCAUCUAGAGACGUGUAGAGGAGCACGCCCCUCUCCACCCUCCUGGGGGUCUCCUGGAUAUUUCUGAGCGUAAGAGCGUCUUCUCCCAGCAGGCAGCCACGGCUGUCUCUUUUCUUCCUUGUCUAGUGGAGUUUCCUAGGUGUAGAAGUUUCCCAGGAGCAUUUGUGAGCAGUCUAAGGAAGAUUCACUCAGUCAGAAGGGGUGGCAUUAACAAAUGAUUCCCUUUUUAACUCGGCCUGGGCCUCAUUCGAACGCCCGUUUUCAGCCUGAGCUUGAACCUGAAUCAAGAAAGAAAACAUGAGUUGCCCGGUCCACUCCCCAUGCCUAGGAGACCCCGAAAAUUAACAAGGACAUUCUUGUUGGGCCCUAACCUUGUAUUUGCAAUGUUUCUGCUUCCUGGCGAGGCUGUGGUGUGGGAAUUGGAGGGAGGUCUUGCUGUGAUAGGGAAAGGUUCAAGUUCACUGCCCAGGACCAGCUUUUGACAGCCAGGAAGCCCGCUGUUUUGGAGAGGAGGGUAAGUGGUGGGGGUGGUGGGGGGGCUGGUGGCCAACUCAGUUGCUCAGAAUCUUGUGAGGAAUGGUAGCAGCUUCCUGGUGCCCGUGCCAAGCUGCCCCACAGCACGGUUGAGGGGCCGCCU